rnacentral:pre_miRNA from 1 species
GAAAACUUGAAAACUACCGUUGGAUCGAGAAAUGGACGUCCGAGAAUCGUCCACGUCACCAUAAGUUAAAAUUUAACUCGCAGAUUCACUCAUGAGUUAAAAUUUUACUAGAAGUUAAUUUUUAACUCAUGGUGACGUGGACGAAUCUCGGACGUCCAUUUCUCGAUCCAACGAUAGUUUCUAAGUUUCC